rnacentral:rRNA from 1 species
UACGUAGGUGACAAGCGUUGUCCGGAUUUACUGGGCGUAAAGAGCGCGCAGGCGGUCGUUCAAGUCGAGUGUGAAAGCCCCCGGCUCAACUGGGGAGGGUCAUUCGAUACUGAUCGACUCGAAGGCAGGAGAGGGUAGUGGAAUUCCCGGUGUAGUGGUGAAAUGCGUAGAUAUCGGGAGGAACACCAGUGGCGAAGGCGGUUCUCUGGGCCUUACCUGACGCUGAGGUAGCGAAAGCGUGGGGAGCGAACGAGG